GAGGAAUCUCUGCUAGUAUGGAAGACUGCAGCUCUGAAACAUUGCUGGCUGUGGAGCUGAGCAGACAGACCCAUCUGUGACUUCCCAGCGCCGACACUGCUGUCUCCGGCACCUUGCUCCUGGCUCUACGUGAUUCCCUUGGUUUCCUUGCU